rnacentral:lncRNA from 1 species
UAGGGUGGGGGGGGUCUUGCUGUGGGAGGGGGCACGGGACCCUCCCCUUCCUGGUCUGACGGGCCCCGCCCUCCCUCCCUCCCUCCCUCCCUCCCUCCCCGGCUGCAGGUACGUGGUCUUCCACCAGGACCUUUGCGCCUGCGCAUCGACCUACCCGGACCACGUCCAGCGCGAACUCUGCUCCUACAGCACCUCCCUCAGCCGAUACUUCCACCUCCGCGACGUCUUCCGGGGGAAACCAGUAAGAAGAAUAGUGUCCGCAGCUGAAGAGGAAGAACCGGCUGGAAAUGUGGAAGGAGGAGGAGGAGGAGAAGGAGGAAGAGAAGACGACGGAGGAGGAGGAGGAGGAGAAGAGAAGGAGGCGGAAGUGGAGCCCGGAAGCGGAGAGGAGAGGAAGCAGGAGGAGGAAGAGAAAGACGGAGGAGGAGGAGAGGCGGCACACAGCAGCGCCAAGGAGGAGGAAGAGAAGGAGGAAGAAGAAGAGGAGGAGGAGGGCUCUGCCCCAGAGAGUGAGGGCUCUCCUGGAAAUGUCCGGGAAGAAGGCGGAACAGGAGCCGAGGAGCCGGCCCCUCCUCCGCCCCCGCCUUCGGAAGGCUCCGAGCAGGAAGAGGAAGGGGAGGAGGAAGAGGAGGAGGGGUCCUCCUUCUCCACGUCCCGCGGAAACACCUACCGCGUGAACCUUCGCCUGCGGAAGUCCCAGAUCCGGAAGCCGGAGAAGUACUUCGCCGGGAAGCUGAAGGGCCAGCUCUUGCCCGCCUACCUGGAGCAGGCCUACCUCUCCGAGGCCUUCGUGGCCGAGCUCAGGAGGAGGUGAGCCAGCUGGUUGUGUAGAGUGUGCAAGCGUUGAAUAAAAAGUCAUGCCUCCACCUUGGUGGCAGUCCUGGCUUGCUCAGCAGACUCCUCUACAGUUAGUUCCAUUUGGCGGGAAGCCUUAGCAUUGGACGGUUGUGUUGUUAAAGUGCGAAGUAUGGAACCCUGCACAGACGGGGAAGCCUUAGCAUUGAACUGUUGUGUUGUUAAAGAGUGAAGUAUGGAACCCUGUUCCAGCGGAAGCGUGCUGGGCCCAUAACCAAUUGU